rnacentral:rRNA from 1 species
UACGUAAGGGGCAAGCGUUGUCCGGAAUCACUGGGCUUAAAGCGUGUGUAGGCGGAUCGUUGAGUGUCUUGUGAAAUCCCACGGCUCACCCGUGGAACUGCUGGGCAUACUGGCGAUCUUGGGCCAACUAGGGGCAGUCGGAACAAGCGGUGGAGCGGUGAAAUGCGUAGAUAUCGCUUGGAACGCCGAAGGUGAAAACAGACUGCUGGGGUUGCGCCGACGCUGAGACACGAAAGCCAGGGGAGCAAACGGG